rnacentral:rRNA from 1 species
UACGGAGGGUGCGAGCGUUGUCCGGAAUCACUGGGCGUAAAGGGCGCGUAGGCGGCUUCUCAAGCGUGUGGUGAAAGUCCGGGGCUCAACCCCGGAUCGGCCGUGCGGACUGGGGAGCUCGAGUUCUGUAGAGGCGGGUGGAAUUCCGGGUGUAGCGGUGGAAUGCGUAGAGAUCCGGAAGAACACCGGUGGCGAAGGCGGCACCCUGGACCAGCACUGACACUGAGGCACGAAAGCGUGGGGAGCAAACAGG